UGCAGUCGAGCGGAACGAGUUAUCUGAACCUUCGGGGAACGAUAACGGCGUCGAGCGGCGGACGGGUGAGUAAUGCCUAGGAAAUUGCCUUGAUGUGGGGGAUAACCAUUGGAAACGAUGGCUAAUACCGCAUAAUGCCUACGGGCCAAAGAGGGGGACCUUCGGGCCUCUCGCGUCAAGAUAUGCCUAGGUGGGAUUAGCUAGUUGGUGAGGUAAUGGCUCACCAAGGCGACGAUCCCUAGCUGGUCUGAGAGGAUGAUCAGCCACACUGGAACUGAGACACGGUCCAGACUCCUACGGGAGGCAGCAGUGGGGAAUAUUGCACAAUGGGCGAAAGCCUGAUGCAGCCAUGCCGCGUGUAUGAAGAAGGCCUUCGGGUUGUAAAGUACUUUCAGUUGUGAGGAAGGGGGUGUCGUUAAUAGCGGCAUCUCUUGACGUUAGCAACAGAAGAAGCACCGGCUAACUCCGUGCCAGCAGCCGCGGUAAUACGGAGGGUGCGAGCGUUAAUCGGAAUUACUGGGCGUAAAGCGCAUGCAGGUGGUUCAUUAAGUCAGAUGUGAAAGCCCGGGGCUCAACCUCGGAACUGCAUUUGAAACUGGUGAACUAGAGUACUGUAGAGGGGGGUAGAAUUUCACGUGUAGCGGUGAAAUGCGUAGAGAUCUGAAGGAAUACCAGUGGCGAAUGCGGUCCCCUGGACAGAUACUGACACUCAGAUGCGA
rnacentral:rRNA from 1 species